rnacentral:rRNA from 1 species
GACGAACGCUGGCGGCGUGCCUAAUACAUGCAAGUUGAGCGCUGACGGUUGGUACUUGUACCAACUGGAUGAGCAGCGAACGGGUGAGUAACGCGUGGGGAAUCUGCCUUUGAGCGGGGGACAACAUUUGGAAACGAAUGCUAAUACCGCAUAAAAACUUUAAAAACAAGUUUUAAGUUUGAAAGAUGCAAUUGCAUCACUCAAAGAUGAUCCCGCGUUGUAUUAGCUAGUUGGUGAGGUAAAGGCUCACCAAGGCGAUGAUACAUAGCCGACCUGGGAGGGUGAACGGCCAACUUGGGACUUGGACCCGGCCCAAACUCCUUCGGGAGGCAGCAGUAGGGAAUCUUCGGACAUUGACGAAAGUCUGACCGAGCAACGCCGCGUGAGUGAAGAAGGUUUUCGGAUCGUAAAACUCUGUUGGUAGGGAAGAACGUUGGUGAGAGUGGAAAGCUCAUCAAGUGACGGUAACUACCCAGAAAGGGACGGCUAACUACGUG